UCUGUUUUUGCCAACAAGCCUUUUAUAUGAACACAACACAGUCAUUUCCCACCAGGAUAUGUUCUUCCGGACCUGUGUAGAACUUCUGCUCACCUGGAACAUGACUACUUCUUUAAAGAACUUUUCACUAUAUUGUAUGACUCAAAGAGAUUCAACUUACAUUUGAGACAGUUCUUCAUGUGAACUUAGGACACUGGAAGGUUCCUUCAAUGGACAGACUUUGUAAAAUCCCCCUGACAGCUGGAAGACAUAAUGCAGCAGAACUGCAGGAGUGGUCAUACAGUCCUUUGUAUCUGUAUUAAUUUCUUCCUGUUAUGUUGAGAACACGUCUUUAUACAGCAGGCAAGAAGUUACCGGUACAACAUCCUGCAGAUGUGACUACUUAGAUAUUGUGAGCUGAAGAUGCCAAGGAAGUUGACAACACAUUUGAGAGUUCAGCAGAGAGAUCUUCCUGAUUAGCUUCUAAAAUCAUUGCCAAGUUUUACACAGCAAGAGCUUCUUUUUCUGGUAGUGAGUCUGAUCAUGUCUUUAACUUAGCUAUGAAUGUCCUCCUUGUAGCGCAGCUUGUAUUGUUGCUGAGAUGGGCAUGUGUGUCUCUGGGAAAUUCCUUCUAGGUUUUGAACUAUGGAACUCCUAUUGUGUAGUGUGUAGAGCUUGAGUUCAGGAAACCUGGGAGAAGCUCACAAGAACUUCCCAUGGGGAAGGACUUUUACUAGCUGGAAUGUGCACUCUUGUUUUGUGGCUUCAGCACCUCUGGGAAAAUCUGAAAAUUUCUAUACUCCUAAAUCAGGGAACCUUUCCAAAUCCAUUGUAUGAAAUUAUCAAAGAAUUAAUAAAAUAUUUUUAGAAGAGAAAAUGGACAGGUCUUCACUUGCCUUACCUGUCACUUGCACGUUUCAUUAAGCCUUGUUUCAUUUUAUGAGAUUUGAUGCUUUAAAGGAGAUGAAGGAAUCCUUUUUAAGCAACAAAGGAGAGGGGUGUGUGCAUCGGAAAGCUUGCCAGCUUCCUCUACUGGUCACCAUUUAGUACUCUGAGUGUUGGGAGCUUUCCAAGGCUCCUGUCUGCUUUGCACACAUUGUUUGUCAUAGCGGUUCCUCUGAGGAAGAGUUAUAUUUUUUCCUAUGCACUAUUCAAAUAAAAAGCACUGGCUACACCAUUUAGCUGUUUCAGAUCAUUUAAUGGAACAAAAGCAACAACCCAACAAGCAAAAGAAAAUGAGAUGGGAAGAUCUUUCAAGAUCUUCCUGAGAAAAACAAAAGUUUAACCAAAGAAUUCAGUCCCCUGAGAAAUACAUUAUCAUCUUUGAUAAAGUGUUAUCAUGUAUGAGGAAAAUAAGUAGGGUUACUCCAGUAAAACACUGUUCAGGGAAAUGCUGCUACAUCAACUAGUGUGUAUUUUGCAUUAUUAAAAGUGUAGUUGGAA